rnacentral:rRNA from 1 species
UACGUAGGGUGCGAGCGUUGUCCGGAAUUAUUGGGCGUAAAGGGCUCGUAGGCGGUUUGUCGCGUCGGGAGUGAAAAUCCAGGGCUUAACUCUGGACUGGCUUCCGAUACGGGCAGACUAGAGGUAUGCAGGGGAGAACGGAAUUCCUGGUGUAGCGGUGAAAUGCGCAGAUAUCAGGAGGAACACCGGUGGCGAAGGCGGUUCUCUGGGCAUUACCUGACGCUGAGGAGCGAAAGUGUGGGGAGCAAAAGGG